rnacentral:tRNA from 1 species
GCGGGCAUCGUAUAGUGGCAGUACGUGACCUUCCCAAGGUCAAAGUGCGGGUCCGAUUCCCGCUGCCCGCUCCA